rnacentral:rRNA from 1 species
GACUACUGGUGUAUCUAAUCCUGUUUGAUACCCACACUUUCGAGCAUCAAUGUCAGUCACAGUUUAGUAAGCUGCCUUCGCAAUCGGGGUUCUUCGUGAUAUCUAAGCAUUUCACCGCUACACCACGAAUUCCGCUUACCUCAACUGUACUCAAGGAUGCCAGUAUCAACUGCAAUUUUACGGUUGAGCCGCAAACUUUCACAACUGACUUAACAACCCGCCUACGCUCCCUUUAAACCCAAUAAAUCCGGAUAACGCUCGGAUCCUCCGUAUUACCGCGGCUGCUGGCACGGAGUUAGCCGAUCCUUAUUCAUAAGGUACAUGCAAAGCAGUAUACAUACUGCACUUUAUUCCCAUAUAAAAGAAGUUUACAACCCAUAGGGCAGUCAUCCUUCACGCUACUUGGCUGGUUCAGGCUAGCGCCCAUUGACCAAUAUUCCUCACUGCUGCCACCCGUAGG